CAAAGUCCAAACAAGUCUGCUAUGGAACCCUUCCAUGCUGUACAUUCAGAAGGGCAAAAUCCUUCUCUUCCUUCUGGGAGUGGACUGCAGGCAACAAGGGUACCUGGAGCAGAGCUGUCUGGCAGUGUGCUCAGCCCAGUUCUUAAAAGUAAUUCAGGCUUCGCAAGGGAAGGACUGUGGAUGAUGACAUUUUGGCUUUCAUUUCACCAAAGUGCAUUCCAUGUAUAUAACAUGAAGUCCAUUAUACCAUAUUAAGGGAUACUUAUAAAUACCUAGGCAGAGUAUCAUGUCAGGUUCUCUAAGAAAAACUAAAGAAGUCAGGGGCGGGGGAGAUCAUAGUAAGGGGUUAUUCUUUGUCUUUGGAUCCUCAUUUGGGUGGGUGAAGGUUCAAUGAUGCCAAAUCGACUGUUUCUUUAUGGAGACAUAGCAUGUCAUCUCUGGGCAGAUUAAUCCCCCUCGUCAGUUUCUUUUUUAAAACCCCCGGUAGGACCUGAAGUGAUGCUUCUGCUGAUGUAGCACAGGAGCCCUCUGAAUGAAGAUGUAUGUGCAGUAAAAAGUAAAGAGCUGAGCAGUGUCAAGAAAGAGAUCAGAGAACUACAAGGACAAAUAUACAAACUGCUUCUGCAGAAAGAAUCAGUUCUGCCUCUCUUACAGCCAGUCCACAGCAAUGGCUCUAGUGGUUAUGGAAGCCUUGGUAGCAGUGGAUCUUACGAACACUAUAUCAGCAUAGCAUCUUCCAGUGACUCCAAUGGAAAUUGUAUAGAAGAAAUAUGAGAACCAGAUGACUCUGUAGCAUGUCUGUGCCAACAUCAAUCAAAUAAAGAAUUUGGGGCAGCAGUUGUAUAUUGAGUCCCAGAGCAAAUGGCAAAAUAGAAAAGACCAGGUCCCAGGUGCUGAACUGCUGGAAGGCAAGCAGCACACCACUUUCUAUAUUCUUCAGGCACUAAGAAAUAACAUCAGUCAACACCAAGCCAGUUCCAUCCUAUCAGCAGAUUAAUUGUGUGUGGACAGUAUCAUCAGAUAUCUAGAGAGCUGAAGUAUUCCAGCAUUAAAAAGGAAGUGUACAUCCUGUGCAAACAUAUCCUCUUCCUCUUCAAGCAAGCCCAGCAAAGCCAGAGUGAAGUCCAGGCAUUGGAAGGUAGUAGGAAGUCAACAGGCAUUCAUAAUGGAAACAGAAUAGCAUAUCUGCUUGUUAUGUUACUGCCAUAGUUUCCAUUAUUUCUGUCCUUUGAAACCUGCUGAUUUACACUGACAACACACAGCUUCCCUUUUUCGGCUGUGUUUAGAGACCUUACUUAGAGCUGAUGUAAACAGCUGGCUUUGUGCUGUUUUGGGGGUUUUUUUGCUGAAAAAUGAAACUUGAAAAACUUAAGCUGUUCAUCUUGAUUAUGCUGCCAUUUAAUAAGCGGUGGUUUGAUCCUAUACUUUUUCAUUUAUUUUGAAAAUAUAAUUUGUUUAUUUAAAGAGUUUGCGUAAUGAGUGUAAGGGGAAAAUGUCAUUUUUGUGAACAAAGACAACUAGAUGAAUUAAGAGACAUGGGAACUAAUUUUGGGACUUGAGAUUUUUUUCUUUAACCAUUAGAUGCAUGUAUCUUGCCACCAGUAAUUUCCAAGGCUGCAUUGUCAGCUGAACCAGGGGAGACUAAAAGAGCAGGCAACAGCAGUUGUGGUCAGAGCUCCACUGACAGACCUGACUUUGACCACCAAGGCUCUGAGUGUGGUGUCUGUUACCAGCCAGUGCAGUUACAACAGCACCAUUGUGCAUGUGCCACAUCCUGAAUCGGGAUGGGGCCCAGCAUACAGGGGCCAGGGACGCAGUG